AUUGAACGCUGGCGGCAUGCCUUACACAUGCAAGUCGAACGGCAGCAUGGAGAGCUUGCUCUCUGAUGACGAGUGGCGAACGGGUGAGUAAUGUAUCGGAACGUGCCCAGUUGUGGGGGAUAACUGCUCGAAAGAGCAGCUAAUACCGCAUACGACCUGAGGGUGAAAGCGGGGGAUCGCAAGACCUCGCGCAAUUGGAGCGGCCGAUAUCAGAUUAGGUAGUUGGUGGGGUAAAGGCCUACCAAGCCUACGAUCUGUAGCUGGUCUGAGAGGACGACCAGCCACACUGGGACUGAGACACGGCCCAGACUCCUACGGGAGGCAGCAGUGGGGAAUUUUGGACAAUGGGGGCAACCCUGAUCCAGCCAUGCCGCGUGCGGGAAGAAGGCCUUCGGGUUGUAAACCGCUUUUGUCAGGGAAGAAAUCCUUUGAACUAAUACUUCGGAGGGAUGACGGUACCUGAAGAAUAAGCACCGGCUAACUACGUGCCAGCCGCCGCUGUAAAAC
rnacentral:rRNA from 1 species